rnacentral:lncRNA from 1 species
AUGUUUUAUCAAGUCUAUCGAAUAGACUUUAUUCACAUCUUGUUGCUCAAAUUGUGACAUCACUCCCACUGGCCUUGUUGUAACUUAGAAUUCAUUCAAAAAUAACAAUUAUAUUUUCUUGAUUUGAAUGCAUAUUGCUCCCACUAACUUAAAUGAAUCACACACAAAAGAGUUCCUUCUCAAGUAAUUCCAUGAAAUGUGUGACUUGCUUUAUCAAGUCUAUUCAUUUAAAUUAUAUGGUGUCAUACACUAUACUUCAAGUUUUAGUCAUACUAAGACCUUUAAUGUAGUCAUAUAAGAAUUAUCCAAGUCUUUAGUGGAAGCAUGGCUCCUACUAAGGAUAUAGAAACUCAACCAUUCCUCUAGGUGGUUGAUAUAAUUCUUUAUCAAAACUACAUAGAGCAAUAUUAUUACAUGAGAUGUUGAAUUUGGUUUGUCUUGUUGUUAAACCAUAUGUUGUGACUCAUUUUGAAACUUAUUCCCUUUUGUUUUAUCAACUUGUCCAUAUGCUUGGUUAUUUAGCUUGUUCUCAUAAAAGAGAAUGAUGGACAACUCCCAACAUAUAACCAUUUUAUGCUAGGUUGACGAAACCAACAUUCAAAGACUAUUCUUUAGAAUGUCACACAACAAAGAAUUUUAACGUUUGAAGAGCUUGAGUCUUUUAACAAUUAAAAUUACAAACUCUUAAUAAUAGUCAAGUACUAUUAUUCUUUAGACAACUAUAAACCAAUCAUAUUUAAGUUUAUAUCCAUUUUCACACCUCCCACUAUUUCUCAUGACUUUAAUGAGAAAUCAUUUCAUACAUUCAAAAUGUAUAAAAGUGGAGUAUUUUGGUAGAAGACAUUGUGUAGUAGCUUUAAAACAUUUCAAGCUUAUUUGUUUCAAUCUUCACUAAGUUUAAUGUCUUGUUAUUAAGUGAAUAAAGUCUUUAAACAUUUUAUAGAUUUAGACACUUCUUUCUUGGUUUAAUCACUAACACAAUUGACAUUUUAAAACCUUUUAAAGAAUGCCCAAUUAGUUGUUCAAAAUUACUAAUUGAAUCAAGAGUGAUCUUGAUCAUUGUGUUUCAAGUGAUAACCAUAUAAGAAAAGUUUUUCUUAUUACUUAUAUCAUUAUAAUGUGAUCUUCCUUUUCUUCAAGAAAGGAUUCUCUAGACUUUUGUCAAUUCAUAUAGAACUCAUAAGUAGACAAAUGGAACCAAAUCUAAAGAUUCAUUGUAUCCUUUUAUGUCCUACAUGUGAGAUCUAUCCACAAUUGAUAAAUCUAAAGUUUGGUUAUCACAUUACAAUAAGUGAUAUAACUCUUGUAUCUCAUCUAGGAUACAACAAGACAAUUUUCAAUUCAUAACAUUACUUUAAGGAAAUAGUAUAUUAAAAAGGCAUUCUUCACAUUACAUUAAUAUGAUAGUUCAAACAUUCAUAAUGUUUAAUACAAAAAGUAUUAGCUCUAUACAUUUAGAGACUAAUUAAAUACCUUUAUACAUUUAGGCAUUAAUAGUGGUCUUCCAUCAUAUGAAGCCACAUAAUAAGUUCUUAUCAAAAUAAGAAAGUUUAAAGACAAUCUUUAAUGCCUAACAAACUUCCUAAGUAGUGAGCAAAAAACAUAGUGGUCGAACCCUUCUCCACCUUUUCCUUGCUUGUUCCUCUUCUACUUGGCUCCUCCACCUAUAUACAAUUAUACAAGUGAUUAGCCCUUUAUAU